CUCUGUCUCUCAGGCACAGACAGUGAGUGAGGCCCAUGUGACCUUCUCUGGGCUCUAGGAUUGGCUGUGAAGCAAAGAUCACUUACAACAGGGAUUGAAACAAGAGGUGACACUCUGUAGUUUCAGGAAGU